rnacentral:snRNA from 1 species
ACCGCAUCGCAACAGUGGUGUAA